rnacentral:lncRNA from 1 species
GAAUUUUCUUCCUUUCCUAUAUUUUGCUAAUAGGUCCCUAAUCACUUGCUAUCUAUAACUAAAGAACUUGAACAUUUAUUAACUAUGAAUCAAUCCAUUUGUAAACCAUAAUUGUCAUAAAACAACUACAAAUUUUUCAAUGCCUAUUAUAAUUUUGGUUUUAACACCUAGGGUUAAGAUGUCAGUGUUUUUGAGCCACUAAGGGCCUAUCAUCUGUACAAUUAUUUUCUAUUUAUAUUCAACCUAGUUCCAAAAAUGUUGGUUUGAGUCCAUCUGCCUAAUCCCUGACUACUUGAAAGGGCAUUCCCUUGUUUCUUCACAAAUUCUUCUGAAAUAAUCUGACAGAUUCUAGAAUGUUCUUAGUGCUCUAAUUUUUUUUUACCCUGGAUAGGUUACAGUGAAAACUUUCUAGGUUAGAGUGUUUUUUUUUUUUUUUUUUUUUUUUUCUAAAAUUACCCUUCAAGCUUUAAGGCAGAACUGUUCUCUAUUUUAAACAGUACUUUUCCUCUCAAGCCCAGUUCGAACAAUACUUGACUAAUUAUUCUCUCUUUCUCUUUCUAUCCUCUCUUUCCACCUCCUGCCCUCACCCUCCACUCCAUAUAUACGGAUAACACAUUUUUGAUGUUAACAGUUCACUUUUACACUAAAAUGCUUCCCUCAUUUAAUAAUAUUGACAGAAUUUCUUUUGAGAUAUAUGCUCCAUAAAUGAAAAGUGACAUAUUUGGGUCAAAAUUAUCCUCAUUCAGCAUUCAAGGACACACAGGUCUUUUAGUACUACAGUGUUACUCAGCAUCAUCCAUUCUCUUCACUUACAUUUUAGAGUUGCAUUUGCAAGUGGCCAUCACAGGAAGGGCCACAUUUGACACUGUGUAUUAAAUAAUGCAUAUAAUACUAUACAUACCAUGAUAUCUGCAAAGCCUGGUUUCUUUAUUUUAACUCUCUUUAGCAUUCCUUAGAUCACUGGGUUUAUAACUCUGCUUAGCAACUGUGCUUUUUAAAGCACACUUAACUAGUGAUUUUAAAAGUGUCAUUCUUCUGUGUGUUUGUACAUGCAUGUGUGAGAAAGUGUUGUUCUCAUAUGGCCAAGGAAGAAGUACUGGGUUAAAAUUCUGUUAUAUUUAUAUUGUUCUACUAAAUAUACCUUUAGUAACAUAUUAAAAGUUGUAGAACAAUCACCUUCACCAAAAAUAAAUUUGGAGAAAACCAAGCAUUUUAUUUUGUAUUUGCUUAUGAAAACUGGUGUUUUGGGGUAGAUUUAAUUUGGGAUAAUGAAAUGAUGAUUUUACUUGUAAUCCAAAUUCCAAUUACAAAAUUGAUUUUCUCAAUAUUAAUGACCUCAUCUUGAUCAAGGUUAGCUUUUGCUAUAUAACAAAAAAAUAUCAGAAUGUAUUGGCUUAAAACAAGAGUCAGCUAUUGCCUAAAGGUCAAAUCCAAGUCCUUUUUUGUUUGUUUUUUGGCUGCCUAUUUUUAAAUAAAGUUUUAUUGGAACACAACCAUGCCCAUUUAUUUGCUUAGUGUCUAUGUCUGUUUUUGUGCUACAACAGAGAUAAGUGGCUGCAAUAGAGAUACUGUGGUACACAUAGCCUAAAGUAUGUACAGUGAAAAUUUUCUGAUUCCUAGCUGAAAGCAGCAAUCAUUUAUUAGUUUAUGGUUUUAUCAUUCAGAAAUUUGGGCUGAGUUCAGCUGAGCAGUUCUUCUGAUGGCCUUUUCUGGACUCACUCACUAGCCACCAGCCACUCACUACUAGCCACCUUUGCAUGUCUAUUGGUUGGUGCUGUCAGCUGAGGUGGCAGUUGGUCACAUUUUCCAAUAGUCUAGCCUGGGCUUAUUCAUAUAGUUGCUGUUCCAGGACUCCCAGAAGCAGCAAAGGAGAACAAACUUCAGUGAGCAAGGAGUUUUCAAUCCUCUAUUGGUAUCACAUUUGCCAUUCAUUUUCCCUUCUGCCAAAGCAAGUUACAGUGGCAGGCCAAGCAACAGUGCACAGACAAUCUACACAAAGAUGGAUCCAGGAAGGUGUGAACAAACUGAGAGCUUUCACUGCCAGAACCUAUGACAGCCAAUUUCCUAAUUUUACAGAUGAGCAAACUGAGGCCCAGAGAAGUAAAGCGACUUGCCCAUGCUCAUAUAUCUAGUCAGUGUCUAAUCCUUUACUUGACCCAGAAUCUCCUGAUUUCCAGUUGUAAUCAUAAAUUAUUUUUUAAAAAAAGGUUAAUGCCCUUCAGCUCAUCAAUAGUAAACAAACAAUCAUGAAGCACACAGAGAUGACAUAGUAUAGUAGCUAACAACAUGGACUUGCAUUUCAGAACUCAUGUUUAGUCUUUGCUUCACUAUUUUGAAGGUGAUUUUGAACAAGUGACUAAAUCUUAUGAAUAUCUUUCUCCUCUGCAUAUAAAGAGGAUAGACCCUAACUCAUAAGCGUGUUUGAUGAGCAAUUGAGAUGGACUCUGUAAGGUAUUUCUAUAGUAUCAAAUCAGUGUAAGUGGUCAAAAGAGGCUAGUUACUUUAGAAUUAUUUCAUUUUGAAUUUCAUUGUCUUUUAUGUAUCAAAUAUAUUACUUGUUACUUAAAGUUUUUCAGAUUUUUUUCGAACUCCAAAAUUCGUUUCUCUUUACUUUAACCUUUCUGAACCACUGAUUUCCAAGUAAAAUCAACUUUAUGCUUUAGGGCCCAGUUUGUCAACUAAACCUUAGUAUGUAUAUAACAGUGGCCUUGUCAUAUUAAGUAGCAUUUUUUGGUCUUUGAAUACCUUGUCUGUUUGAUCAGGGAACAUAUUCUGUAAUGGAAACAUUUUUUAUUGGACAGAUACAUAUUUAGCCUCAAUAUAUUCCAAGGCAGCUACUGAUUUUAUUGGGUUCUAGAAAGUAAAGUUUAUUUCUUUAUUCCCAGCAGGCCAUAUACCUCAUGGUUCCCUAUCAACUUUAAUACCUGGAAUGGAGACAGUUCUGUUUUAUUGCUGCUGUGCUUUGACUAUUGCUUUUAUGUCAUUAUCACUUAUUGUAAAGGAGAAUUGAGUUGAAGAAGCGAAUCUUGUUCCUUUUUUACAAUGUUAAACCAGUAUAAUUAACAUAAUCAUUUUAGAUUCUCUUAUAUAUUAUUUCAGAUUUUAUUUGUUAAUUUAUUUAUUUUGCCUUUCUGUUUUGCUUUGUUUUUACAGAUGCACCUGCGGCAUGUGGAAGUUCCCAGGCUAGGCUUCAAAUCAGAGCUGCAGCUGAGGCCUAAGCCACAGCCACAGCAACACCAGAUCUGAGCUGCAGAUUGUAGCAAUACUGGAUCCUUAAACCCAAUGAGCAAGGCUGCUCAAGUCAAAUCCAAAUCCUUUUGUACACUAAGUCGUUUUCUUAACCUACUGAGCCACAAUGGGAACUUCUGAUUUUAUUUUUUUUAACUCUAGAAAUCAUUCUUAUCGUCAUUUCAAUUGAGUAAUAAAUAUAUUAGGAAUAUCUUCAUGAUAGUUUAAUUUGGAUCAGAUAAUUGACAACUGUCUUUAAACAACAUUCUUUGAAUUUUUCCCAGUUGUUUUACUGAGCAUUUAUAUUAUUCUGGUUUUGCAAAGUUAACGUUGUAAUAUUCUUUCUCUAUAUUUGGGUCUAUAUAUGAUUCUACUAUUCUAAUUUCAAUUCUCCACCAAGGAAAUUCAAUUUCAAGUGUUCAUAAAACUAGUAAUACUGGUCAUUGAGUUGAUGGACUUACAUAUUAUUUCAGAUUUGCUAUUAUUUUUUUCUUUACUUGAAAAAUAAGGAAAAAUAUACCUCUUGUGAGGUACAAGAUUAAUUAAUUUUCAAGCUUAUGUCUAGUUUCUAGGAUCCUGUAGGAUAUUUUGCCCCAGUUGUUUUUUGGUUGGUUGGUUGGUUGGUUGGUUUUUGCUUUUUAGGGUUGCACUGGUGGCAUAUGGAAUUUCCCAGGCUGGGGGUCAAAUUGGAGCUGCAGCUGCUGGCCUUCACCACAGCUACAGCAACACAUGAUCUGAGCCAUGUCUGUAGACUAUGCCACAGCUCACAGCAAUGCCAGAUACCUAACCCACUGAGCAAGGCCAGGGAUUGAAUUUGCAUCCUCAUGGAUACUAGUUGAACUCAUUUCUGCUGCCUCACAAGAGUAACUCCCUCCCCAAGUGUUUUGAUCUACUUGAACUGAUCUGUAAAAUUAGGUGAACUGAUCUUUAACAGUUUGUUUUAGUAAAAGGCUAUGGCUUAUUUAGAAAAAUGACUUUAUGUAUGUUCUAAGUAAUAAAAUUUUCUGGACUAGCUAAGAAUUAAAAAGAGCAGCCAGAAAAUCACACUUAAAAUUUCACUUCCUCUUCUAAACUUUUGGCAAGGGACAAACAGGGAUAUUAGUAUAUAUUUGUUAUCAUGUGCAGAAUAAGGCUACCCUUAAAGGGAAUUUCCAAGUGCAAGUAUAGCCUCAUGUUUGUUUAUUAUCUUAAUAGGAAUUUAAAUGUUCUCUCUUUGUUAUGAAAAUCUGGAGGAAUAUAGUAUAUUUUCAUAUCCCCAGGAUAACUAUCACCUUGUAGUGACAAUUCACAGACACAGUGAUGGGUAACUCCAGACAUCAACAUUCUUGAAGAGCUCAGCUCCUGGUGACAUGGGAGUAAGGGAUCCAAGGAGUAAGGCUCUUAUGAUAAAACCUGAAUUUACAUUUAAGAAUGCUAAGAUAUGAGGGAUAAAUAAUUCUUAGUUUGAGAGUACAGAAUCUAAACUUGGAAGACAUCAUUGAAAUUACCUAGUUGAAACUAUGGAUUUAAAAAAAAAAGAGUGAGAUCUUGGAGUUCCUGCUGCAGAGCAGUGAGUGAAGGAUCAAGCUUGUCUCUGGAGAGGUACCAGUUAGAUUUUGGGCCUGGCAUAAUGGGUUAAGGAUCCAGAGUUGCUGCAGCUGAGACGUAGAUCACAGCUCUGGUUCAGAUUCUAUCCCUGGCCCCCAAAAUUCCAUAUUCCAUGGGUUCAUC